GGCUGUGGUGUUGGUCUUUCGGGGCUGAGGAGGGUGAGAGGGGCUGAAACCAAGGCCCUGGGCGAGGGGAGCGGGCAGGCAUGUGGCCCACAUCUUUGGAGGAGCCCAGCACACCCCGUGGCUGCGGUGGCACCACCUGAUUCGCGCUACCCGGACCUGCGCCCAGCUGGUCAGCCAGGGCUGCGGGCCGGUCCUCCUGGCCAGUCAGACCUCCCACUCGGGAGUGACCCCAGGUCCCGCCUCAGUUUCCCGGGUGGAGGGGUGGCGCUGCUGGCCAUGGCAGCUCCACUUUGCUGUGUGGCAGGCACUUAACUUGUGCGCCUCCAUGCUCGGAGUGCACAGAGAGGUGCAGCGCCCUGACCAAAGUCACACUGCUGGGACGUGGUGGGAUGGGCUUCCCACACCCACGCGGGCCUGCACCCCUUCCUUUCCUCCAGUCCUUCUCCCAGCAGUGCUCACAGCUGGUUCCCUGGGGUCCUGGUGGGCUGCAGAGUGUGUGUCUGGGACCCACUCUGAAGUUGGAUGCAGCAUGGUAUGUGAGUUCCUUGGGACAGGCUUUUUCCACGCCUUUUGUCCGAUUCCCGGGAGGUCUUCCACCCCUAAACUGUCUAUUGGCCCAGUGUGAGAGGGCAGAGGUGGGCUUAGAGUGACCCUUGUACGCCAGGGGUGGGGUCACUAGCCCAACAAAAUGGGAAUACUGGAGCCGAAGCCUUGCCUCAGGCAAAGGAAAGUUUGAUUCCCCUUGGAGCACCGAUUCCAGUCUGGGACAGUUGGUUGUCAACCCCAGAACCAAGGCUCCUCUCCUUGGUGUUGAACGUUUAUCAAGUCACUUGCACACAUCACUGAGGGGGGAGGGGAGGCCCAAACCAAAGUCAGACAGAAAGUGGGGACAGCGCUCCCCAUCCCUGCAGCUGCCAAAGCCAGAAGGAGGAGAGGAGCCCCCCCGAGGGUGGCCGCCCCACAGUGGAGAGGAGGGGCAGAUGUCAGCCAGACGACAACGUCCCCAUGCACCACAGCACUGCUGCCCGGCCACCACUGCCUUCCGAGGCACUGCCCAGCAUCCUCCCUGGUCCUCGGGUAGGCGUGGCUCUCAGAAGAGCAGGGUGCUCAUGCUGCCCACCUCACUUGGCUCCUUGAUGAAGAUCUCGAAGGACUGGGAGAUGUUGGUGACAGCCAACAGGAUCCCCAUCCCCAAGCCGAUGGCACCCAGGAAGGCAGCCAGGACCAAGAGGCCCCAAGGCACAGGCCCCCAGAGUGAGGGGACCGAGUGAGGGGACUCCUGGAGUACCAGGUGGUGGCCGCAGGGCCCUCAGUCCCCAAUGCCACCCAGGGUGCCCUGAGCUCCCCCAGCAGCUGGCCGGGCUGACACCAGCUGCCCCCCAGGCUGCGGGUGGCACUUUCGUCCGGAUCUUGUACAGUCACAUCAGGGGACUUGGGGGGACCACAAAAUGCUGCCCAUGAGCCUGGGUCAUUCGCUCAGAUUCAAAGGGCAAAAGAUCAGCCAGUGGCAAGGACCCGCGGGUGACCUGGUGCUGUGGUCCCCUAGCUCCUGAGACGGGCCUUCUCCAUUGAGAGCCACUGAAUUCCCCACUGUCCAUCGCUCAGCAGCCAGUCUGGGCAAAUGGGGGGUCACUUCUGGCUCUAGCUGUGCUGAGACACUUGGACCACAGGGUCCUUUUCUGAUUCCUACUCCAGCAUGCAUUGUCGGGGACUUGUCCCCUCAGCCCUCGGCUACUGGUGGGGAAGAGGCCCUCCUGCCACCUGCACUGAGCAGGCCCAGGCCCAGCUCCUGUUCAACCAGAAAGACAGAAAAUCCCGAGGGCAUGACCUGCCCACUUCGGCCACUGGGCCUGAGGGGAGGCAGGGAGGCUUCCAGCACAGGGGCCCAGGGAGGGCUCAGGAGCCAAGGAACGGCACCUAGCUGUGGCACAGGUGGCAGGGCCACUGUGCUAAAGAUGUGUCCAUUCUGCACCUGACCCCCUGUCCCCACGGCCUGGAGCAGCUAUUCUCAAAGACAGGUUGAGGCCAGGCAGGGGCCAGAGGCCCCACUGUGUCUCCAGGAAGGUCUUACUGUCCUUACUGGUUUUAUUCCUGGAGAGACCUGCGUUCUCCUCAGUGUUUAGAGCAGCUCAACUCACAGUAGCCAAGCUACAGAACCAGCAUAGAUGCCCCUCAGCAGAUGGAUGGAUAAAGAAACUGUGGUCCCUAUACACAGUGGAAUAUUACUCAGCCAUAAAGAAGAAUGAAAUGAUGGCAUCUGAAGGUCAAUGGAUGGAGCUGGAGAGGAUCAUGCUGAGUAAGUAAGCCAAUUCCAAAAACCAAAGGCCGAGUGUCCUCUCUGACAUGCAGAUGCUGACUCACAAUAGGGGAGAAGAGAAGAGAAUUUCAUUGGAUGAGACAAAGGGAAGGGAGGGGAGGGACUGGGAGAGACAGGGGAAUGAAUGGACGUCACUUUCCCAUGUUCACAUAGGAACACAACCAGGGAAACCCCACAGCAGGGCCAGCCACAGGAAUGAAAAUCACACCCCGUGUAGGUGACAUGGCAGGAUGAAGGCUGCUGUCACGGGGAGCUAAGAAGAACAAAUUCAGAGACAAACCUGUGUUCCCACCUAUGACAAGGGACAAGGCGCGAUGUCAAUCAGUGUCCUCAUCAAAGAUGAAGUGGGCUCUGCUGGCCUCUGGGAGCCAGUGUGAGGGAGCUGACACUCAGGUCACCAGAGCGGCCCCACCUCCUCAGGCCUUUGCUCCCUACAGGAUUGUGGAGCCUCAGAGGCCCGCGGAAACCCUGCCAUUCAGGGACAGGGCAGCUGUGGCCUUUGGUCCCCCUGCUGUCUCCUCCCAGGGGCAACAUGCACUCCCUUCUUCCCAUCCUGACUUGUGACAUCACGGGUAGGGACAGACCCGGGCAGCAGGGACAGCCGGCAGCACCUACCUGAUAACACAGUGGCCUUGGUUGGAGGCAAAAACCACGAUGGGGGCGAUGGAAGAUUCCAGAGCUCGGUGCAGGGAGGUGAAGCCCUCGAUGGCCAGCAUGUGCACCUCGUCCACGAACAGCACGCUGGGGACCAGCUCGGACACUCCCUGGUCGAUGUACUUGUUCACCACCUUGUUGAUCUCGCCUUGGACAGGGUCCCAACCAGUGCGGGAAAUGUCACCUGCUCUCUUCUCCCCACCUCAAUUCCCUCCAGACCCAACCCUGCAGCCUGGUUCUCCUACUGGCUCUCUGACCCCAGGCUGGGUACUGGACCCAUUCCAGGUUUGGUGUCAUCAUUUGAAAACAAGAAUCAUGCCAGGUGUGGUGGCACACGCAUAUAACCCCAGCAGCCUGGGAGGUUGAGGCAGGAGGAUCGCAAAUUGGAGGCCAGUCUAAGCAACUUAGUAAGGCCCUGAGCAAUUCAGUUGAGACCCUGUCUCUGAAUAAAAUACAGAAUAAGGCUGGGGACGGGGCUCAGGGGUCAAGAGCCCCUGAGUUGUAUCCUUGUACCCUCAUCUAAAAAAAAGAAAACAGGCAUCAUCGCCCCCAAAUCCCACAAAAAGCCUUCUGUGGAGCUGUGUGGGGCGCAGUGUCCAGGAGCUGCCCCAUCUAGCCCUGAGCCUGAUGCUGAGACACCCCACUUGGGAGCCCCAGGGAGAUGCGUUUUCAUAUGCAGAUUCUCCUCUGCUGCACUCAGUCAAGGAGCCCUUUUGGGGCCCUGCGUGAGAAUGCUCAGGUUCAUGAACUUUCCAUCCAGUGCAGUUAGAAUCCUUUCCCUGGGAAACCUGAGCAAGGAGGGUCAGAGCAGGCCCAGGCUCGGCUCCAGAACCACCAGCCUCUGCAGAAAGGCAGACCCACCUCAGGUCCCAGCCCUCACCAGCGCCCCCUGUCAUCAGGAUGGAGCUGUUCCCAAAGAACCGGGAUCUGAGGCCUGUCCUCGCCCAGAGCCAUGACGCGGGGCUGGCAAAACCCAGUUCAGAGACAGAUCUGCUCUUGGCCACUCAUGGAGGAGCUUAGGCUGCUGCGAGGCCUCAAGGCAACAGUGGAUUCAUGUUGAACUUACGUUUUCAGGGAGUAAAGUGGUAAUGGGCCUGAGAAGGACAUAAAAUUGGGGAAGAGCCGGGUGCAGUGGCACACACCUGUCAUCCCAGCAGCCGGGAAGGCUGAGGCAGGAGGAUCACAAGUUGGAGGCCAGCCUCAGCAACCUAGCAAGGGCCUAAGCAACUCAGCCAGGCCCUGUCUCUAAAUAAAAAAUAAAAGUGCUGGGAUGGGGCUCAGUGGUCGAGGGCCCCCGAGUUCAAUCACUGGCAUAAAAAAAUAAGUCUACAAAGGAGCAAGGGGGACCCACUGCCUGGUGUCAACGUCGGCACCUUUCUGGGACCUCAAAGGAAGCUGAUGCUGACCUUAGUGGGGCCAGAGCACACAGUGUGGCCACGGCUUCUAAAGGGAGUGAAGACCCAGAGCCGUGCAGUGGGGGGCGCUCAGAGCCGGGAGCAUGUCAGAGGCAGGGCCUCAACUUGGCUCUGGGCCCAGGCUUCGCCACGCAUCCUCCCUGUGAUCUCUGUCUUCUUUGGCUUCAUCAACUGGCCCAUCAUGGACAGGAUGUCUUGUCCCCCCUGUAGGAGAGAGGACUUUCUAAGGCUGCUACCAAGGCCCAUCCUUCUGCCUCCUGCGGGUCCUGAUGUCACUCAACUUGGAAGCCUGAGGUAGACAGGCCCAGCACAGCUCCCCUGGGAAGGAUGAGGGGCUCCUGAACUCAGAGGGAUCCCCUGGAGGUUUCCUCUGACCUGCAAGAAUCAAGCAGAGUCGUGCAUGGUGCCAUGUGGAUCUGAGGCAGGAUAGUUUCUACUCUGUAGAUUUGAAGUGUCCCUGAAGGUUUCCAGAAACUCGCAGAUCUAGGCUCCGGUUUCUGCAAGCUCUGCCACACUGCAGGACCCAGAAGGCUCACCAACCGAGGACAAUGGAUGAACUCUGGGCAAAGAAGUAGAUUUUGAAUGAGUCAAGAACAUAAAGAAUUGGGCUACACAGCACCCUGUACUCAAAGCAAGACAGUGAGGAAUGUGAAGAUUGAAGAUCAAGGGUAAGGCAAGUCAUGGGACAAGUCAAGAAAGUCAUCAAGGACAAAAGGAGCCAGUCACUAGAAAGCAAGUUAAUGCAAUAGAUCAAAUUCCAGAAUCCUGGAAAACUAUGAACCUAAAAUAUUAAGCAAGUUGAUGGGGAAAGGCAGACAUACAAAAGCACCAAUAUGGGAAAAUGGGAUUGGAGUACAAAUAUGAGCCCUAGUAAAAAAAAACACUUGCCACAAAUGUCUGCUAUAAUAAAUACCUUUACAAAUAAAAGUCUUUUUACUGGAACAGGUGGUAAUUACAGGCAAGGCUAUUCCAAAGUCUAAAGGCUUCACCUAGUAAAUGGUUCAUCUGUUUAGAAAGCUAAAUAAAAAUAUAACAGUGAAUCCACUCUCAUAUAUAAUAUUAAUACACCAAUAAAAAUCUGAAUACAUUAAGAAAAUCACAAAGGAAGGAAGGAAGGGAAGGAGGAAGAAUGCAUUUUAGACAAAUGCAAUAAUCAUCUCAAAAGGCAGGAACCUUCCAAAAGCUCACUGGAAUUUGGGAAAAGAAGGAUUCGAUUGUUUUGUAUGGUGGGAUCUCCAUUACCUUUCAAUAUGCCCAUUUAAAAUUUUUUUUUUUGAUUUUUUAUUUAGUGUUUCUAAAUCAGUAAAUUUUGUUUGUGAUUAUUUUUCUAUUCAUUAUAGGUAUCUAAAAUAUAUACAGCAGAAACACUAUGCUUUACACUAAAUACAUCAUGCAUUUAUUAUUAAUUUAAUUCAUAAAAAUAUUUUAAAAAUUAUUAGUUGUUUAUGGAUCUUUAUUUUAUUCACUUAUAUGCAAUGUUGAGAAUCGAACCCAGUGCCUCACACAUCCUAGGCACGUGCUCUAUCACUGAGCCACAACCCUAGAACCUGUAAAUAUAACUUUAAUGGUUAAAAAUAUGCAUCAACUUUCAAUAUUGACCUUCAAAGUGAAAUAUAUUUUCCUGGUAAUAUAGAGCUUAUUUAGUCAAUUUUUAUAUCAUGUUUUGUAGUUUUUUAAACUCUAAUUUUCACUUCCAAUAUGAUAAUAAAAUCAUUGGUUAAA